AUUCUGUCCUCUAGGUUUUGUACGAGGCACACUCAGAUCUCAUUUGAUUCAGUAUUAUGUCACUUCAAGAUACCUAGGUAUAAACUCCUAGGUCUUAUAUUU